rnacentral:sRNA from 1 species
CCCAAGGCUGACGCCUUGGGCUACAAUAUUUCGCCCUCUGCGAGGACU